UUAGCUGACCCUUGCGAUUACCCCAAAUGUGGGUAAUUUUGUCCUAUAAUUUCUGGUAGUGGGGACUGCGUUCGCGCUAUCCCCGU
rnacentral:snRNA from 10 species